UACGGGGGGGGCAAGCGUUGUUCGGAAUUACUGGGCGUAAAGGGCGCGUAGGCGGUCUGUUAAGUUGGAUGUGAAAACUCUGGGCUUAACCCAGAGCCUGCAUCCAAAACUAGCAGGCUAGAGUUCUAGAGGGGAUAGCGGAAUUCCUGGUGUAGCGGUGAAAUGCGUAGAUAUCAGGAGGAACACCGGUGGCGAAGGCGGCUAUCUGGACAGAAACUGACGCUGAGGCGCGAAAGCUAGGGGAGCAAACAGG
rnacentral:rRNA from 1 species